CUUACUUUAGAAAAUAGUGCCUAUAAAGUGAUACUAAAUUCUUUUCCAUUUAAGACGUGCACCAGGAUGUGAAGGAGGAGAGAACAUGAUUCUGGCUGGGGAAGAAACCCUCAAGAACUUCCGGCUGACAUGCAGCUGUGAAAUUGAGUGUGCACCCAGCUCAACCUCCACGGACAGA
rnacentral:lncRNA from 1 species